CAGCGCCACAAGUGGCAAUCACGUUUAUUGGGCCUAAAGCGUCCGUAGCCGGUUUAGCAAAUCUUUUGUGAAAUCGUCAGGCUUAACUUGACGAAUUGCAGAAGACACUACUAAACUAGGGACUGGGAGGAGUCAGAAGUAUUCUGGGGGGACCGGUAAAAUGGUAUAAUCCCCAGAGGACUACCGAUGGCGAAGGCAUCUGACCAGAGCAGAUCCGACGGUGAGGGACGAAAGCCAGGGGAGCAAACCGGAUUAGAUACCCGAGUAGUCC
rnacentral:rRNA from 1 species